AUCAAAACUGUACGUGAUGAAAUGAAAUGAAAUGGAAUGAAAUUUUUUUCAGGGUUCUAGUCGAAAAAUCGAAUGUUUAAAUAUACCUAUAUCACAUUUUUACGUUGAAGUUCUUUAUUUAACCAACCAUUCAGUUUGUAAGACAUCACAAUGUUAACCAACCUAUCGAAUAAUAGAAAUAAAUUAAGAAGAAAUCGUCUAAACAUGUCAGAGCAGCCUGAUGAGCCAGAGUUCGAUCGUCCACGUGCUGUUCAAAAAUUUGUGGACUAUUUAAACGAAAAUCAUCCUGUUUUAGAGCGUUCACAAGUAACCGAACUGAAUAUGCAAAGAGAGUUUAAUACCGAUACUUUGAAAUGUCGUGGCAUACCUCAGCCAAUCAACGAAAGUGACACCGAAAAUGACAGCUUCGACGUUGUUGGUGGAUCAGACGAUACAACCAUCAUAAGCGGUGAUCAGAGGAACCUAUUUGUUGAUCGAUUACGUUGUUGGUUAUUGUAUAUGAUGAGUCGUCAAACUGUUGGCCAACAGACCCUCUACGCAUAUCCACGCCAUGCAACUGCCAGAGUGGCAUUGAUAAAUUACUUCAGAGUGUUCGACAUCCCAAGAUAUGAGUUCACACAAUGGUUUUGUCCAAUGGUGUCUGAUCAGCCAGUAUAGCAACAUUAGAUCGUGAAAAAAUUAUUCGUGCAGCAUUCCUGAUGGAAGAGCAAGAAGGGUCAUUCCAUGUCAACUCAACCAAGUUUUUGAGUCAUGUCUUUCGAUUUCGCUCAAAUUUUUUUACAAUAUAUACCCACCCAGUAAGUAAUAACCCCGCACCCGGGGGCGGGUGGGGGGGCUUCCAUUAUUUUCCCAUCAUCUCGAGGUACUCAACUUCAGCAGCCCAUUCCUCCAAAACUAUGACACUUUGAUCAAAACUGAUUUCACAGUUCGAAAGGGUAUUGAAUUUUAAACUUUUUAAGCAUUUUGAAAUUUUCAAAAUUUGAAAGUUGAACUUUCAAAUUGAAAGUUCAAAUUUCAAAAUGGCGCUGUAAGUGGGAACUACCAUUUAAAAUUUUGAAAAAAUUUCCAUAGAUGUACAUUUUGAUACUUUUUCGAAAUAUUUAGGUUUCGAAACGGGACUCUGGAUGGAGGGGGAGUACCCUCACCACCAAUUUUGGGUGAAACUUUCGAAAGAAAAUCUGGGGCAUGUGAUAUAUUGAAUUGUAUGUUUUCGGCAACGCUGAACACGAAUAUGACGUUAGAUUUUUGAUAGGACCCCAUCCACGGCCCCCCACCUAACAAAGGAGGUAAAAGUUCAAAAAAGUGUUUUGUUCGUGCGACACAUGGAAUACAUAAUAUGUUUUUGGUGGCGCUGAACACGAAUAUGACGUCAGAUUUUUGAUUGGACCUCGUUCACGGCCCCCAACAAUUUUUUUGACUUUUACCUAUUGGGGGAGGUUCUGGGGGCCAUGGGUGAGGUUGAUUUUAAAAACUAUGGCUAUAUUCGUGUUCAGAGAUAUCGAAAACAUACUAUUGCAUGUGUCACACGAAUGUAACCAUUUUGGGGGGGGGGGGUCACCCCCUUUGGAGAGGUGCUGGGGCCCGUGGACGAGUCCAAUCACAAAUCUGACGUCAUAUUCGUGUUCAGCGUCACCAAAAACAUACUAUUCCAUGUGUCACACGAACAAAACGUUUUUUUGAACUUUUACCCCCUUUGGGGAGGUGCUGGGGGCCAUGGAUGGAGUCCAAUCAAAAAUCUGACGUCAUAUUCGUGUUCAGCGUCGCCGAAAACAUACAAUUCGAUAUAUCACAAUGCCCCAUAUUUUCUUUUGAAAGUUUCAUCCAAAAUUGGGGGUGGAGGUGCUCCCCCACCGUCAAGAGUUUCAUCACGAAACCUAAUUAUUUCGAAAAAGUAUCAAAAUGUACAUCUAUGGAAAUUUUUUCAAAAUUUUAAAUGGUAGCUCCCACUUACAGCGUCAUUUUGAAAUUUAAACUUUCAAAUUGAAAGUUCAACUUUCAACUUUUGAAAAUUUCAAAAUACUUGAAAAGUUUAAAUUUCAAUGCCCUUUUGAACUGUGAAAUCAGUUUUGAUCAAAGUAUCAUAGUUUUGGAGUAACGGGCUGCUGAAGUUGAAUACCUCGAGAUAAUGUGAAAAGAAUGGAAGCCCCCC